GGUUCGUAGUUGAACUGUGGGCCGCGCUGCCGCCGCGCUCCGCCCCACCCGCAGAGGGUGCGUGGCACGCGGCGCGCGCUGCCCGCGAACACUCAGACACAAGCAGCGCGGGAACGCUUCCCCACACCACGCGUGUCAUGCACGCACGGGGCGCCCGCGAGUCUUUACUGUGACUAAAAAAGCGCGACCAAAGCAGUCCAUCGACCUGAAUUGCAAAGCAUGGGAUAACAAAGCAUCAGCCUCCGGGCCACCGAUUCGGCUUUUGUUGGUUUUAACAGUCCGUUGGAGAUUAUGGGCCGGCGCGAGCACGCACCGCGGCAUUCCACUCGGAACACGCCGCACGCCCCGCGGCGCCUCGCGCGUCGCGGCUCGCCGGCCCGGGAAUGAAGGAGGGCGGCUCGGGGGAGAACGUACUGGCGCGUCAGAGGUGAAAUUCUUAGACCGCGCCAAGACGAACCACAGC
rnacentral:rRNA from 1 species